GGAUGCUGGUGGUCAUAUGCAGCGUCACCGUCAUCAUAAUCCUCGUCUUCAUCCUCUCCUUCAUCCUCUGCCGACGCAGAAAAAAGAUGAGACACCUCAGGCGUCGACUCUGCCAAUGCAAACACCCCAAACCCAAAGGAUUUUACAGAACAUAAUAUCUCCACAAAGACAUUUUAAAGAGGACAUCGCAGCCAAUUGAAUUUCUGUCCAGAUAAGAUGGAUUUUUAUGUCAUAUCUACAAAACUGUGAUACUCCGUCGGGUGCGUUAUGAGAAGCUGAAAGUCUUAUCAGGAAAAUGUAUUUUACACUUGUAUAUAUUAGACAUUAUAUUUUCAACAUUUUAUCUAAGGGACUUUUUGUUACACAGAAAUGUUGCAUUUAAUUAUCAUUAUAACUUUGUUGUUCGUUACAAUUGCUGUUCAUUGUUUUGAGAUAAGUCUUGUUAUGUAAAUAAUUUUGUACUGACUGACCUAAUAGUGUUUGACACUUGCUUUUUUUCAAUAAAUAUUUACACAUUUUUAAAUAUGGAUAGUAUACAUACAUGUGGACACUGUACACUGUAGGGAAUUUCUUUGUUUUAUUAUUAAAAAUAUAAAAA